UUACAGAUGAUUUUGAUCCUUCAAUCCCUUAUGAGUAUAAAUUUUUAUAUGAACAAACUUGAUUGCACUAUACCUGAACUGAUCAAUAUGUUGGUCACUACUGAGAGAACCUUGAAGAGUUCAAAGGGCACUGCUCUUGCUGUGGAGCAGACUUCUUUCAAGAGAAAGUCUGAUUAGAAGAAAAAGACUAAAUUCACAAAGAAAUAAAAGAAAGAGAGCAAGCCAAAGAAGGACAUUCCAAAGAAGGCUGAAGCAUAAGAAAAGUAUUUCCACUGUGAUGCUGAAAGCUACUAGAGGAGGAACUAUCCACUC
rnacentral:lncRNA from 1 species